CGGGAUUUCGCGUUCGCGUCCGCGUUCGCCUCCCAUACUUUAUUGUGCUACUUCUGCACCGUCUCAGUUAGAGCCCCUCUUUUCUGAAUUUGAAUUCUGAAACUCUGAAUCUUAGAAUCAAUGACCAUUGCGAUUCCAAAUCUGGUAGGCCUGAAUAAUCUCAACCCUAAAGUACGACAACUCCGUACCAUGACUCUGCAAACAAAUUUCAAACUUCCUCUUGUUGUUCUUCUUCAUCCUCAUCAUGAUGUUAAGCGGACUAGCGCGUGGUCGUCUUACAGAAGAACGAAAAGCCUGGCGCAAGAACCAUCCCCAUGGUUUUUGUGGCCUAGCCAAAAACAGCGGAAUAUGGCUCUCCUAAUUUGUUGGUGUGGCACUGUAUCAUUCCCGGAAAGCUUGGGGUUAUUCGGGUCAACUUGUGCGGACCUCGACUAAUUCCUGUAGGUGACUAAUACAUCAUCUCACUGCUAUGAUCACCUGUUUAAAUCUUGGGAGCCAGGGGGAUUCGAACAUGAGUGCGCCUUAACCACACAUCUUAGCGCUCGUCCUACCACUUGAGCUACCCAAGGACUUCAUGGGAAGGUGGCUGCUUUCGAGUUACUUUGAACUUCAGUGAACACUACCGUAGGCUACCCCCAAUAUGCAAGUUUCCAGAAGGUUUCUUCCACCAUAAUGUCGACCCUUUUGGCAAUAUAUGUGCAUCAUUUCUUGACAUCGAGAUUUUAAGCUCUUCUUUAUGCUAUGUAAUGUACUUGUAAAUCAUGUCUAUAGCAUUGACUACAUUUAUAGUUUAUUAACAUGGUGGCUUUCUCUGGGGGUGGACUCCAUCCAUAACUAUGAAGGAAAUUUUGUAGAGCUUUCAGAUUUAUUGGUUCAAGCUGAUCUUGGUUAUCCUACAGGAACUGAUUCCUUUCAGCUCUACAUCAAGGUUGAAGCAAGAUUUAACUAAGAAACUGAAGCAGGAUUCAGAGUGUUCAAAACAGAUCAUCUAUUGUUGGAGAAAAUAAGGGAGAUCAUAGGAAAGUAGCUGUCCAAACUGGUUCACAGUUGCAAGGGGCAUGGCGUCGUCAGCAAAAUUUGUGAUGAUAUUCUGGUGAGCACAAUCUGCAUGACUGAUUGCAUCUGUAUUGGCACAAGGGUACAAUCGAAACUCUUCGUUUUCAUACUCAGCAAGCAUUCUCAGAUGCACCCUGGUUAAAAUCAAUUUCAGGGUUGGAAAGAGAUUUGGUGAUAGCCCCAGAUUCAGCUUCCUGGUUAAUGUGGUUAAUUUCAUCACCACUCACACAAUUCCCAUCAGGAUAGAAAACAUUAGAAAUUGAAGCAUUGUUGAUUCCAACAUUAGCAUUGCCAUUGUAAAAACUGUUGUUUCCAAUUUCCCCAGUAUAAUUACCAUUGAAAACAGAGUUGGUAAUGGUACUUAAUUUGCCCUCCUGCACAUUGGUAUCAGCAUUCAUCAGAAUCUCAUCAAGAUGGGAAAAUUCAGAAGCCAAAGCAGAGCUAAUUCCAUUGCUAAAAUCGAUUUUGUCAACAAGAUUGUUCCCAAAAUUUGUAGUAGCAUCAGAAGUAAAACCUGAAGCAAAGACCUUUGAACACAAGUAGUAACUCAACCUCAUCAAAGCACUGUUUUUCAAACUUCCCAUCUUUUCUUGAACAACAAGCAACUCAUCAAUGGACUCAAAACUCUUUUCCAAGUCUUCAAAAUCCUUCAAGAACCCAUCAAUUUUCUCUCUAGUCCCAGGUUCUUUCUCAAAUGCCUUGAUUUCAUUAUAAACAGAAAGAGAUGACCUUAUAAUUUCAUUAUCCACCGGCUCAGGAACACGAUUGCGAAGAAAAGCAUCAAAUACUGAAUCAACAGAAGGGUGUCCAAAAGAGAACAUGCUUUCUUUUGAACAAGGCGAAGAAAACACCAUGGCAAUUUGAGCUCCAGAAAGCAUGCACGAUUCUGCAGCUUUGCUGAACAACCCAUAACGCCUUUUUGAGAAACUAACAGCCCUUUGACUCUAGUUUCACGUUUUUGCAUAGGAAUUUUUCUGCUUGCUUUCAUGGUUUAGCUACUAAAUUCUGUUAACAAGUACUCAAGAGUUUUGUUAAAGCUAGUGCUUAUAUAAGGUUGAUUCAUGGGUCUGAAUCCUUCUGUUUAUAGGAAGUUGUUAAUGGAGUUCAAAUUUUAGGUCAUUAAUGGGGAGAAUCUAGUUCAUUAACAAAUCAAUAUGGGAAGUUUUGGGUAUCUGGAAAUAUUCGAAGCAAUUAAUUCAUGGAGUUGAAUUGGGGAGUUUAUUGGAAUUUUACGUUUCAUAU